GAGACAACACCGGUGACCUGAAGCAAAUGAAGAAAUUUUCAUGGGAAUUUGCGUGUUUACAUUGUUUUUAUGAUUUCUUGUGUUGCAUUUUCCGAGUCAAUAAAAGAAAAAUGUCGGUCAUUUCGUUUGAAAUCACUCAACUGGCUAAGGCCUGCACGACCAAGCUGCUUUUGAAACCUUUGUCUCUCACGUGAACUCGAUAAUUUCCCUUGCUUCCACUUCCAGCUUGUAUUUAUAUCGUUUUUAAUCUGUCUAUUCUAAGCUGUCCUCUCAUCGACCUACGUGGUUGGGUUUCUCUCAAUUUUUUUUUUUCCCCUCCUCCGGGCGCCAAAAAAAUAAAAAAUGAAAAAAGAAAAAAACAAACUGGCCUUCUGUCUUGUUUCUGCAAAGCCAGCCAAGUCUCCAUUAACAGGUCCUUUUUACCAAUCCUUUAAUAUGCGGAGAUAUGCCAAGAAAGCUUGAAUUGUGUUUGAGUGUCUAUCGUCGGUUUUUUUUUUUUUUUUGGAUCUUUUUGGUGUUAGUAGUUAUCGGGAAGUUUCAAGCCAGGUAUAUUAGUUGGAAUGUUGUUACGUCAAUUGGCUUGGCUUUGUUCAUCUUGCUGGUUGUCAUAUCCGACUAAAAAGAAGGUACUGCGCAAGAAAUCUGAUUUGUAAUUCUGCAGAAGGAAUUUGGAAUUGCGAAUUGGAAGUUCAUACCAUCUUCUGUAGUGAAAUUUGGGUGUUUUCUGUUUUGUUGGUAAUAACUUUGGAGGCUGAAGAAGCUUAAGAACCUCCAGAAGAAGAAUUAGCAUGAUCGGUACCAGAUGGACACGUGUCCGGAGCAAAGUCCUGACUAAUCCUAAGGGUGCACAGACUUUUGGCAAGAAAUUUCUUGCAAGUGCACCACGGCUCUUAUGGUUCUUGCCAAUCCAAUGGCUCCUAUAAAUUAUUUGCGCCCAAGGAUUCAAAUCUUAGACUUUUGGAGGGAGGAUACCACCAAGACCAAAGCUCUUACCAGUUGAUCCAACUCCUAGCUAAUUCUGCAUGAGUGUGGUAAAAAACAUAUUGUAUUUAUUUAUUUUUAUCAAUUAUCUAAGGUGAAUUUAAGUUUAAAAGUUCACCUAUAGGUUAAGAAAGGCAGAGCUGAAUGCCAAUGAAAGUUUCCUGGAAGUAGUGAGUGGGUUAUCACAUUGCUGAGCUGAACAUUUAGGCCUGGCUUUAGAGUCUAAGAUGUUGAGAUGUUGAUGACUUGUAAUAUAGCUAAUUCUGACCUGAAACUGGACUAGUUAAAUGGAUUCCAGUAAAUGAUAUUGUGAACGAAUGGCGAAAAAAGGCCCUCAUUGAUGAACUAAUCAUACGAUUGACAUAAUCUCAUAUAUGCAUAUAUCAGAUUGUGGCAUAUAUUUUCUGGGGGAGAAUUUAGCUCUAUAUACAAUUGAAGAAAAGGGAUAUAAUCAACUAUUUCAUUAUCACUUGCCCUUUUUUUUUUUUCAAUUUUUUCUUCCAAGAAAAUAAAAUUUCAGCAGUGAAGAUGAACUUCAAGGCAAUGAUCCACGGUAAGGAGACAAAACCAAAUCAAGGAAAACAAGAAUGGGGCCAGAUAUUGGCAUCCUGGAAAGACUUCAAGGGACAUUCCAGACAUUUCAUGCACCUGAAACCAACUUUGGAAAGUAAAACUAACAACCCCAUCUGUGUCGGCAGUUUUAUUUACAGCAUUUACCACUUUUGAAUUUGAAGUCUGGUAAUUAAAGUUAUAAAUAAGACUUGGACAGUAAGAUUUCCGUAUUGACUUGAGGCCGCUUCCACUUUUCUGGUGAUUCCACGAUCCUGUAGCUGUCCCUCUUUAUGCAACUGAGCCGUGCUUUCUUUUGGAUUGAGUCAUAUCAAGGAUGAAGUAAUAUUUGGAGUUGUAUGUAACAUUUUAUCAGGGACGAGUUAGUCUUGCCUGAAUUAUUCAAGGGAAUAUUUCUGCAUGAUUCUAUUUUGUCUCCAUCAAUCAAGUUGUGGGGUGUUGGACAAAGAUGUUGUGUUUCAUUAGAUUCUAGAAAUGAGACAUCACUUAAUGGGGGAAUUGACAUUUACUGUCUUGGUGGAGUUGCCAAUCAUCUCUACCACACAUAAGCCAUGUGAUAUCUUAGAUUAUUGUUUACAGCUUAUAUAGAGUGUGGCAUAAAUGAAGCUUAAACCUUGCGUCAUCAGAUACCCAUUAGACACAGAUAUUGGUGAAAAGUCCUACUAUUGGAAAGUUGAAUUACGGUCCACAAACUCUCAUUGCUCAAACUUCUGCAACCAUUAGACUUCAUAUUUCAUUUCCUGGCAAAUAUAAUAUUUGGAUCUUCAUUGGAGGUGGUCUAGAUCAUUUUGAAAAUUUUAUUUUGCUUAUGCUCGGUACAGCAAAUGGUCAUCAAUUUGAAUAUAGAAUGUUGGUGAUCUGUGGGCCAUUUCUGUUGAAGCUAGAUUAUGAUUCUGCCUAAACUUUGAAAGGUGACAUGAUUCACAGAGGUUUCCCUAAGAUGAAAUAACAUUAGUUUUUUCAAUUUUGUAUAUAAAGCAUUACUUUUUUCUUAUCUUCUUUAAAAAAUGGAACUCUUUUUCAUACCCAGAGGAGUGGGUAUUUUGCUAAUGGAUAUUGUUGUUUACAAUUAUUGUAACUAUCAGCUUUUUCUUUCUUCUUGUGGUUUUUCUUUUCUCUUGUUCACUUGAUGUUAAUAAUUUCCUCUAGACUUAGGCUGGCUCCUUCCCCACAGAAGAAUAAUUAAUAAUAAUGAAUAAAGAAACUCCUAAGGAGAUCCAAACAGUUCAUUGAAGUAUGACCACCCCAGGACAAUGAUGGGAUACCCAGGUUAAUGAGAGAUGGGUCUAGUUCUGUAGAUGAUUCCAUUGGUAAUAGUCAUGACUAUAAAUGCAUUUAUUUUGUUUUUCCUUUGUGUUCUUCCGCUUUUCCAGGCAUUGACAUAUGGUCAUUUGAAUAGCAUCAUAUGGUCUAAGUCUUUCCUUCCUAGUCUAAGAUCACUUGCUCAGAUUUAGAUCACUUGAUCAGAUUUAUAUGGAGAAGCAUAUUGAUUGGUGACAUAAUGCUUACGUCAUUUUCAGUGACUGUUUGACAUAAAAUUUCUGCAAUUAAUUACCAUUUCAAUUAUUCUUUGGUGAGAUGCUGACAAGUUCCUUUUGUUUCUCUUUUCCUGAUUCCUGAGGCCAUAUUCUUCUCAUCUUCUUUCCCUGCUUUUGGAUUCGUGAGAUCUCAUCUAAUGGGUCCCCUUAAAGAAUAAUAAUUGAUGAGGCAACUUUGUUUAAAUGACUUUGGAUUCACUGGACCUUCUCCUACUGACCUAAAAAUACCAGGGGCCAUUUUGCAUCAUCCCAGAAUCACCUUUACCUGUUAUGGAAUAUAUUAAAGUGAGAAAGUAGCUUCAAGUACAGCAGCUGGUUAAAGAGAAAGAAGAUCAAGUAGAUGCUUGCUCAGGAAGAGCCACACCCCGCGGGCACCCCCCCCAUAUAGCAUUAAACUGGACCCACCUCUUGUUUGAAUAACCUUACAAUUUGUGUUUUUUCCGAGAAAAUGGUGAUGGUAACAGUUUUGAUCAAGGGACUUUGUCAAUCUGUGCUGCUGACUGUUAUGUUUCUUGACAGUUUACUAACAUGUGACCUGUCAGCCUAUUUGGAUAAUUGUAAUAACAACAUACCCAAAUACUCAGAAAACCAUUUUUACUUGUCUUCCAGUUUUGUUCAUUAAUUAAAAGCGUGUCUCUCAUCUAGUUUCCUGGUUAAUUUCUCUUUGGUAUCUAAAAUUUCUGAGUUUUGAAUCCUGGGAAAUUUUUAUCAAUG